rnacentral:lncRNA from 10 species
AGGAGGGGAGGGGAAGGGAAGGGAAAAACUGUAGUUUCAAGGGGUUAAGUAUGUUGCCCAAAGCCAAAGCCACUUUGGGCUCACUAGCUACCAGCUAGUAAGUGGUGAUGUGGAGACUCACCCAACUCAGGUAAAGUCCAUGAUCUUCACCACAGCAUCUGUGUUCUUGUCACUUUCUGGGACGGUGUUUCUCUCUUCUGAGUCCUCCACCCCCUCACCUGUGGUUUGGAUUGGUUGGAGUUUGACUGAGUAGUAAUGGCCACUUGGUUGGUUUCCAUGGCCUGGCGUGUGCUGUAGCUGUAGGAGAGGGCUGCCUGUGUCCAUGAGAACAAGGAAGCCUUCAGGAGAGAAAUCAGCCACUGCCACCCCCCAGUCCUUUAGGAGGCAGUCAGGCUGCUGACAAAGGGACCUCACGCUCCUCCCACGCAUUGCCUGGACCAGCUGGCAGCCCACAGGGGUGGCUUCAGGUCACUUCCUGCUGCAGAGUCCUCACUCCAGCUUUCUCACCAAUCCUCCCCCUACACAAGAAGAUCAUCUCUGGGUUCAGGUCACCCAUCCAACUCCACUGAUGGAUUUAGGCUCAUUUAAUCCAAACUCGACUCCAUUUCAGCCAGAACCAGGCACCUCUAGAAAGGUCACCCUAACUGCCACAUCCAGUUCCUGAUCUGCCAUCUGCUUCUUUUCCAUCACUUGUGGGGUAUUUCCCAGCCUACCACUAAUGUGAGCCCUCCUGAGUCAAAAGUUCCCCUCUUCCAGGCCUCCUGCUCAGCUGACGUCCUGGACCAGGCAGGCCACCCUUGUUCCACUUCCCCUGGGAAGACACCUGGGUCUUGUGCCUGCCCUGGAUUAGGGUGGGCAAAUUAGUUCAUCCAGGACUAGAAGAAUGGAAAUAAACAGACUUGUGUCUUGGGGCUGACUCUGAAAGGUCCAAUGUUAUGCCUAACAGAAAAGCUCACCUUCCUCCAAACCCCUGGAGCCAUCUCAGGAGGCCCAGGGCCACCUAUUCCAUUCCUGACAAAACCCUAGAUGCCCACAUACUGCCCAGGUGUGACAUGGGCCUCUGUGACCCAAGCUGAGGACUAACCCACCGCUCAUAACACGGUUUCUACGGGAAAACCAAGUUGUGAAUUUUGAAUUAUCAGCCCACUGAGGGUGGAAGUCCAAGAUCUGUGGUGAUUUGGGUGCUGAUGCAAGCCAGAAGUCACAGCCCAGAGCCUGCAGCGGCUGCACUGCUGGGUCCCCAGUCCUCGAUGGGCACCAGCCAACCUGCCCUCUCGACCCUCCACAGCAACUCAGGCCCCCACUCCAUGGCUCCCCUGCACCAUCCUCAUGCCUGGUCAACUCUUGCUGCCAGUUGCUGUGAGACCCAGCUCACCACUGGGCAAACAGAGCUUGCAAAAUGCAGCCCAUGCUCACCAUUCAUGGAUUCCAUAUGUACAAAUUCACCUACCUGCGAAAUUGUAUCUGUAACCCCAAAAUCAAUACUGGCUGCACUUUUGGGGUCAUUCUCGGACACACACAGAGUGGGGAAGAAUGAGGGCUGCUCAACACGCACAUUCCCAGCGGGGGUGGAACAAGGCCCGCUCAGCCUGCUGGCUUCAGCUCCCACAAUGCAAACAAGUGUCCUUUUCGCAGGCUAUUUGGUGCCACAUUUUUCAUGCUUUUGUGCUUUGUGUUGGUGAUUUCACUGUUUAAAAUGUCCCCUAAGCAUAUUCGAAGCAACCUGGAUGAGACUGGAGACUAUUAUUCUAAGUGAAGUAACUCAGGAAUGGAAAACCAAACAUUGUCUGUUCUCACUCAUAAGUGAGAGCUAAGCUAUGAGGAUGCAAAGGCAUAAGAAUGACACAAUGGACUUUGGGGACUCAGGGAGAAAGAGUGGGAAGGGGGUGAGGGAUAAAAGACUACAAACUGGGUUCAGUGUAUGCUUCCCAGGUGAUGAGUGCACCAAAAUCUCACAAAUCACCACUAAAGAACUGACUCAUGUAACCAAAUGCCACCUGUUCCCCAAUAACCUAUGAAAAUAAAAAAAAAAAUUAAUGUCCCCCAAG